rnacentral:rRNA from 1 species
GACAGAGGGUGCAAACGUUGCUCGGAAUUACUGGGCGUAAAGCGCGUGUAGGCGGUCUCGCGAGUCGGGUGUGAAAGCCCGGGGCUCAAGCCCCGGACCGUGCAUUCGAUACUACGAGGCUGGAGUACUGUAGAGGAGAGCGGAAUUCCCGGUGUAGAGGUGAAAUUCGUAGAUAUCGGGAAGGAACACCAGUGGCGAAGGGCGGCU